ensembl:lncRNA
GGAAGAAAAUCUUAAAAGCCUGUCAGCGAUUUGCUGCAGUAUUUUCCCCUGUGUCCCACUGACCAGCCAUGUCCCAGUUGGAAUUUUCUCCAGCGCUUGGAUCCCAGAGAAAGGGCUACACAGAGCAGAGCCCCAGCCAAUCAGUGGUAAACAUUUAGACUGAGACUUAAAAACACGAACAACGCCCUUGCUGCUGCAAACACUGAGACCGGGGUUGGGGGGGGUGCAUUUUUCUCCACAGCAUAAUCUAGACUCUAGACUUCGCUCCCCGGCCCCAGCUACAUUUUCUCUGGGGCUAAGAAGGAACUGGAGAGACAUAAAGUUAGGGACACAGUUUCUCUGCACUUGGUGGGGACUGGUCGACACUGGGGAGAGACAGAGGAAAGCUUGAGACUCAGCUGCAACAACUGUCAGAAGGGAGUCGGCGCCAACGCUCGUGUCCUCUUGCCAAGUUAUGCCUCUAUUUGCUUGUGCAACAAACACUGAAUAAAAUCUAUGCAGCCUGGACCUGAGUGUGGCACCUGUCUUCAAAAGACAAGAAUGAAUGGCACAGCCUCCAUUCCAGGGGGCCACAGUCGGUUGGGGGGGGGCAUGUGGACACACAGUCACCGCACAAGUGCAAUUGGAGACACAAGCGCCCAGCGCCACGGGGAGUAGCAGGGAGGGGCCCUGCCUCAGGCGGCUGGAGGAGGCUCCACAGAAAAGGCGAUGGGAGAGCUGGGCUCCGAACACCAGCCAGACCCAGAGGUGGUUCUACUGAAAAUGUUUAACGAAUCAGAUCAGAAAUCCACGCCGUCUCGCCCAGGGACAGGUCUGACUCUUGCCUUGGUACAAGGCGGUGGCACCUCCUUCCGAUUAAACCAGAACGGAGAUGAGUCCAGUGCACUGUGCUCAUGACAGUGGAAAGCAUGUCAUUUCCCUGCCUCUCUGAGCCUGAUCUCACCCCCACCUCACGAGACAGACCACGUAGUGAAACCAAACCCACCUUACUAAGGCCUCUGAGGAAUCAGCCAAACGUCA